UACAGAGGCCUCAAGCGUUGUUCGGAUUCAUUGGGCGUAAAGGGUGUGUAGGUGGCGCCGUAAGUCGGGUGUGAAAUUUCGGAGCUUAACUCCGAAACUGCAUUCGAUACUGCGGUGCUUGGGGACUGGAGAGGAGAGCUGGAAGUUUACGGUGUAGCGGUGAAAUGCGUAGAUAUCAGGAGGAACACCAAUGGCGAAGGCAGCUCGCUGGGACGGUACUGACGCUGAGACGCGAAAGCGUGGGGAGCAAACAGG
rnacentral:rRNA from 1 species